CGGUAAUUCCAGCUCCAAUAGCGUAUAUUAAAGUUGUUGCAGUUAAAAAGCUCGUAGUUGAACCUUGGGCUUGGNUGGCCGGUCCGCCUUUUUGGCGAGUACUGGACCCAACCGAGCCUUUCCUUCUGGCUAACCUUUCGCCCUUGUGGUGUUUGGCGAACCAGGACUUUUACUUUGAAAAAAUUAGAGUGUUCAAAGCAGGCCUUUGCUCGAAUAUAUUAGCAUGGAAUAAUAGAAUAGGACGUUAUGGUUCUAUUUUGUUGGUUUCUAGGACCAUCGUAAUGAUUAAUAGGGACGGUCGGGGGCAUCAGUAUUCAGUUGUCAGAGGUGAAAUUCUUGGAUUACCUGAAGACUAACUACUGCGAAAGCAUUUGCCAAGGACGUUUUCAUUAAUCAAGAACGAAAGUUAGGGGAUCGAAGAUGAUCAGAUACCGUCGUAGUCUUAACCAUAAACUAUGCCGACUAGGGAUCGGGUGUUGUUCUUUUUUUGACGCACUCGGCACCUUACGAGAAAUCAAAGUCUUUGGGUUCUGGNGGGAGUAUGGUCGCAAGGCUGAAACUUAAAGGAAUUGACGGAAGGGCACCACCAGGAGUGGAGCCUGCGGCUUAAUUUGACUCAACACGGGGAAACUCACCAGGUCCAGACACAAUAAGGAUUGACAGAUUGAGAGCUCUUUCUUGAUUUUGUGGGUGGUGGUGCAUGGCCGUUCUUAGUUGGUGGAGUGAUUUGUCUGCUUAAUUGCGAUAACGAACGAGACCUUAACCUACUAAAUAGUGCUGCUAGCUUUUGCUGGNAUAGUCACUUCUUAGAGGGACUAUCGAUUUCAAGUCGAUGGAAGUUUGAGGCAAUAACAGGUCUGUGAUGCCCUUAGACGUUCUGGGCCGCACGCGCGCUACACUGACGGAGCCAACGAGUAUUAACCUUGGCCGAGAGGUCUGGGAAAUCUUGUGAAACUCCGUCGUGCUGGGGAUAGAGCAUUGUAAUUAUUGCUCUUCGACGAGGAAUUCCUAGUAAGCNCAAGUCAUCAGCUUGCGUUGAUUACGUCCCUGCCCCUU
rnacentral:rRNA from 1 species